CACUCCCACCCCCAGUCCUCUGUGGGAAGUCUGCGGUUGGCCUUCCUUUUAUCUCUAAGGGGAGAGAAGAUGGGAAGGAUCAUGCGUGCAUGUGGCCACCAUGUGUGAACGGAGAAUCACUGGGUGGGUGGUAAUGACCACUGCUCAUCCUUUCUGUCAAAAAGACAGACACCCCCCCUACCCACAGACCACAAGAAUUUCCCACAGACUCAGUGGAAACGAUGGAUCCUGGCAGAUGACUUCCAACCAGUGCCUGCAUCUACUUAAUGGAAGGCUGAUGGACAAGUUUCAUUUCUCAGGGUCCCUUGCCCUUGGUCUGUCCCUCCACUUUCAGCUGGAUGAUAAUUUACGGAAGUGGUGUCCUCUUCUCCAUGAAGCUUGAUUCCCCAAGGUGAAAAGGAGCACUCCAGCUAUUGUCUACCAAUGGACACUGUGUAGAUUUCUCUCCCGGCAGUGCUAACAUUUCAGGGCAAUUGUUUGUCCUACCUCUCCUUCCUGAUACCAGGGACAAUUUGAAG
rnacentral:lncRNA from 1 species